UCUCUGGUGGACACUGGCAUUGGCAUGACCAAGGCUGACCUCAUUAAUAACUUGGGAACCAUUGCUAAGUCUGGCACAAAGGCAUUCAUGGAGGCUCUCCAGGCUGGUGCAGACAUCUCCAUGAUUGGGCAGUUUGGUGUAGGAUUCUACUCGGCCUAUCUAGUGGCAGAGAAAGUGGUUGUGAUCACAAAGCACAACGAUGAUGAGCAGUAUGCCUGGGAGCCGUCUGCUGGUGGACCCUUCACCGUCCAUGCAGACCAUCGUGAGCCCAUUGACCCAAAGUGAUCCUUCACCUCAAAGAAGAUCAGACAGUACUUAGAGGAGAGGAGGGUCAAGGAAGUGGGGAAGAAACAUUUGCAGUUCAUAGGCUAUCCCAUCAUCCUCUAUUUGGAAAAGGAGAGGGAGAAGGAGAUCAGUGAUGAUAAGGCAGAGGAAGAGAAAGGUGAGAAAGAGGAGGAAGAUAAGGAGGAUGAGGAGAAGCCUAAGAUUGAAGAUGUGGGAUCUGAUGAGGAAGAUGACAGUGGCAAAGACAAGAAAAAGAAAACAAAGAAGAUCAAGGAGAAGUACAUUGACCAGGAGGAGCUGAACAAGAGAGCCUAUCUGGACCAGAAAUCCAGAUGACAUCACUCAAGAGGAGUAUGGUGAAUUCUAUAAGAGCCUCAACAAUGAUUGGGAGGACCAGUUGGCACUUAAGCACUUCUCUGUAGAAGGUCAGUUGGAAUUCAGGGCAUUGCUCUUCAUUCCCUGCUAGCUCCCUUUGACCUUUUUGAGAAGAAGAAGAACAACAACAUCACAUUGUAUGUCUGCUGGGUGUUCAUCAUGGACAGCUGUAAUGAGCUGAUAUCUGAGUCCCUCAAUUUUAUCCGUGGUGUGGUUGUCUCCGAGGACCUGCGCCUGAACAUCUCCAAAGAAUUGCUCCAGCAGAACAAGAUCCUGAAAGUCAUCCACAAAAAUACUAUGAAGAAGUGCCUUGAGCUCUUCUCUGAGUUGGCUGAAAACAAAGAGAACUACAAGAAGUUCUAUGAGGCGUUCUCCAAGAAUUUAAAGCUUGGAAUUCAUGAAGAUUCCACUAACCGUCGCCGCCUCUCUGAGCUCCUUCUCUAUCAUACCUCUCAGUCUGGAGAUGAGAUGACUUCCCUGUCAGAGUAUGGAUCUCCCAUGAAGGAGACACGGAAGUCCAUCUACUAUAUCACUGGUGAGAGCAAAGAGCAAGUAGCCAACACUGCCUUUGUGGAGUGUGUGAGGAAGUGGGGCUUCGAGGUGGUGUAAAUGACUAAGCCUAGUGAUGAGGACUGUGUGCAGCAGCUCAAGGAGUUUGAUGCGAAGAGUCUGGUCUUGGUGACUAAGGAGGGCCUGGAGCUAUCAGAGAAUGAGGAAGAGAAGAAGAAAAUGGAGGAGAGCAAGGUAAAAUUUGAGAAUCUCUGCAAGCUCCUGAAAGAGAUCUUGGAGAAGAAGGUUGAAAAAGUGACAAUCUCCAAUAGGUUUGUAUCUUCCCCCCUGCUGCAUUGUGACAAGCACCUAUGGCUGGACAGCCAACAUGGAAUGGAUCAUGAAGGCCUGGGCACUGUGAGACAACUCUACGAUGAGCUACAUGAUGGCCAAAAACACCUGGUGAUCAACCCUGACCACCUACACCACCCCAUCGUGGAAACCCUGCAGCAGAAGGCUGAGGCAGACAAAAACGACAAAGCUGUCAAGAACCUGGUGGUGCUGCUGUUUGAAACUGCUUUGCUCUUCUCUGGUUUCUCACUUGAGGAUCCCCAAACCCACUCCAACUGCAUCUACUGCAUGUUUAAACUAGGCUUGGGCACCGAUGAAGAUGAGGUCACUGCAGAGGGGCCCAGUGCUGCUGUUCCUGAUGAGAUUCCCCCACUGGAAGGUGAUGAGGAUGCCUCGCGCAUGGAAGAAGUGGAUUAG